ensembl:snRNA U6 U6 spliceosomal RNA
GUGCUCCCUUCAGGAGCAUAUAUACUAAAAUUGGAAUGAUACAGAGAAGAUUGGCAUGGCUCCUGGGCAAGGAUGACAUGCAAAUUUGUGAAGUGUUCCCAUAUUUU